UACGUAGGGGGCUAGCGUUGUCCGGAAUCAUUGGGCGUAAAGCGCGCGUAGGCGGCCAGAUAAGUCCGGUGUGAAAGUCACAGGCUCAACCUGUGAAUGCCGGUUGAUACUGUCGGGCUAGAGUCCGGAAGAGGCGAGUGGAAUUCCCGGUGUAGCGGUGAAAUGCGCAGAUAUCAGGAGGAACACCGAUGGCGAAGGCAGGUCUCUGGGCCAUAACUGACGCUGAGAAGCGAAAGCAUGGGGAGCGAACAGG
rnacentral:rRNA from 1 species